AAAAGAAAAAGGGGUGAAAAGAACAAGUUUUGUCUAUCUUUGUUCAUCAUAGCCGAAAGUUAGAGAAGAGAAAGGAGAGGAGAAAGCUCUUGAAUGUUCGGUCACUUGGGGAAGAAAAUUGAAGGCAGUUCGUGUGUGGAUCUCGUCAGCAUAUCGUCGCAAACAGGUGUGUAACUAACACCCUCUUUCUUAGUCUGGAUUGGCAAAAGUCGAAAAGCCGAAAUGCCGAAAACCGGUAUUUUGUAGAUUUGCGAGUGUGCGAAUGCUCGUGAGGAAAUCCCCAACCAUAGUGGGCUUGGAGCUGUGAGGGAAUUCGGAGUGGCCGUCCGUUCUGAAAGUUUGAUUUUCUUCUGGUGAACUGGACAUCCUUUUAUUUGCGUUUGAAGUUUUGGGUUUUUAAAUGUAAUAAGGCCGCUUAAUUAUUUUUGAUGGUUUUAAUAUGUAUUACUAAGAUAGGUAUUACUUAUUUUAAA